rnacentral:tRNA from 1 species
GGGGUCGUGAGGCAACGGCAACCUGGCGCGCUCCAGACGCGCUCAUCUGGGUUCGAAUCCCAGCGACCCCA